GGGCCUAUAGCUCAGUGGUAGAGCAUCCGACUGCAGAUCGGGCGGUCGCUGGUUCGAAUCCGGCUGGGCCCU